rnacentral:rRNA from 1 species
AUUGAACGCUGGCGGCAGGCCUAACACAUGCAAGUCGAACGAUCCUUCGGGAUAGUGGCGGACGGGUGAGUAACACGUGGGAACGUGCCCUUUGGUUCGGAACAACUCAGGGAAACUUGAGCUAAUACCGAAUGUGCCCUUCGGGGGAAAGACUUAUCGCCAUUGGAGCGACCCGCGUCUGAUUAGCUAGUUGGUGAGGUAAUGGCUCACCAAGGCGACGAUCAGUAGCUGGUCUGAGAGGAUGAUCAGCCACACUGGGACUGAGACACGGCCCAGACUCCUACGGGAGGCAGCAGUGGGGAAUCUUGCGCAAUGGGCGAAAGCCUGACGCAGCCAUGCCGCGUGAAUGAUGAAGGUCUUAGGAUUGUAAAAUUCUUUCACCGGGGACGAUAAUGACGGUACCCGGAGAAGAAGCUCCGGCUAACUUCGUGCCAGCCGCCGCAGUAACAC